AUGGCGGCCUGGACAACCUCGCACCGGUCAAUCAAGGGGAUCCUGAAGACAACUUCCUCUGUGGUGGCGUCUGCCGAACAGCCCCACGGGAAUGUGGACGAGUUGCUGAGCAAAAAAUCCCGGAAGUGGGAUGAAAUGAACAUCCUGGCGAUAUAUCAUCCAGCAGACAAAGACUAUGGUUUAAUGAAAACAGAUGAACCAAGCACUUCUUCCCAUUGUAUUAUGGGUGAUGAUGAAGAUGCAUGUAGUGAUACAGACACCACUGAAAACACGGCACCAGAUAUCUUAGCUAAGAAAUUAGCUGCUGCUGAAGGCUCGGAACCAAAGUAUCGGGUUCAGGAACAAGACAGCAGUGGAAAAGAGGAUAGUAACCUCUCACCUGAAGAACAAGAAAAAAAGUGACAAUUUGAAAUGAAAAGGAAGCUUCAUUACAAUGAAGGACUCAAUAUCAAACUAGCUGGACAGUUUCAAAAAACCUACAUGAUGAUGACGAAGAUGAAAAAAUGUUAGAGACUGCAGAUGGAGAAAGCAUGAAUAAGGAGGAAUCAAAUCAAGGAUCUACUGCAAGUGACCAACGGCAAAACAAAUCACGAAGUUCAUAGAACAGAUUGGUUCAACGCUGUAAUUGUUAGAUAUAAACCCUGUUACUAUAAUUGCUUCUUGUUCUCCACAAAUCAUGACUUAAGUACCAAAAUGCAUACCAGUUAUUAUAUAUUGCCAAAAAUUACAUGAUAAACUUAGAGACUGAUUAGACUGAAAAUGCCUAAUAGAUGUAUAUAUUCUUGUGCCUAGUUCUUUACCACCAAUACAGUGUAAUAUCAUCAGUCCAAAAUUGAACUACUUUUGGAAAUACACUGGUCAAUUUGUAUUAGAUAUUAUAUAGCUUUUUAUGCUUUAGAGGUUAAACAAUAUAUUUGGGGGAAACUAUUUUCAUCACUCUGAAUGUGGUGGUAGCUCUUAUAAAGUUUGUCGGCUUUUUUUUUUUUAAUCAAAAGCCAACUGAACAACAGGACAUAUAGACUGAUAAAUAUUCAGGCUGAAUAGUAUUUUAACACUUGUCUUCAACUUGAUUUGUCUGUUUAAUUGAAAAGGAUUUUAAGAGUUACUCUUGCAUUUUCUGGCCUACUACCUUUAAAACUCCUGUUGUGUUUCUUUGUAUUUACAAGGAAAGGACUGAACUUUUUCUCAUCAAAACUGGCUUUUUUCCCACAAAUAAAUUAUCAGGUUAAACUUGCACUAAUGUCUGCUCUGUUGUUUUGGUUUUUUUCUAUUUUAUAUUUUUGGUACACUGGGCAGACUUCAGAGCACCUUUUUUUCAAUAAAUAUUCUAAUGUAGCUAUCUCGGCAUUCCCUUUAAAUACCUGUCUUAACCUCCUGCUUUUAUUUCUUACUCCUUUCCACACAUACGCACACAAUCCUUUACCUUUCAAAGGAUCAUUAAGAUUACAUUGGGAACUCUUUCUGUCACUCUUCUGUGAUUUGCUGCAAUAUUGAAAUUCUUAUUUUGACCAUCAAUGCCUAUUCAUUCUUCUAAUACAUGAAGAAAAUAGAUUAAGUAGCAGCA